UACGGGGGGGGCAAGCGUUGUUCGGAAUUACUGGGCGUAAAGGGCUCGUAGGCGGCCAACUAAGUCAGACGUGAAAUCCCCAGGCUCAACCUGGGAACUGCGUCGGAUACUGGAUGGCUUGAAUUCGGGAGAGGGAUGCAGAAUUCCAGGUGUAGCGGUGAAAUGCGUAGAUAUCUGGAGGAAUACCGGUGGCGAAGGCGGCAUCCUGGACCGACAUUGACGCUGAGGAGCGAAAGCUAGGGGAGCAAACGGG
rnacentral:rRNA from 1 species